UUUCCGUAGGUGAACCUGCGGAAGGAUCAUUAAAAAUGUGGUACGAUUGUUGUACUAAUUAAUCAUCCUACCCUUUGUGAAUUGUUUGUAAUGAAUUUUUUUAAAUGGGUCUUUCCCUAAGUUGGAUUGUAGUAAAUACAAAAGACUUAGGGGAAUGACUUUUUUAAAAGACUUUUUUUAAAUUAAACUUUUUGUAUUCAUUUGUCUAAAAUUAUUUUUAUAAUAUAAAAACAACUUUUGACAAUGGAUCUCUUGGUUCUCGCAACGAUGAAGAACGCAGCAAAAUGCGAUAAGUAGUGUGAAUUGCAGAAUACGUGAAUCAUCGAAUCUUCGAACGCAUAUUGCACUUUUUUAGUUUACUAAAAAGUAUGUCUGUUUGAGUAUCAGUAAAAUAUUCUCACAAACAUAUAUUGUUUGUGGUUAUGAGUGUUUUACAACGAUAACAAGUUGUUUCACUUUAAAUUCUUUUUGUAAGUUUACUACAAUUUACAAAUUUAAAAUUGGAUAAAAUUUUCCUUUAACGAGGAAUAACCUAAACAAUUUUAAUUUUUUGGUUCGUAAAUCAUGAAGGAAUCUAUACAUAAAUAACUUGAUCUCAAAUCAGAUAAGAGUACCCGCUGAACUUAAGCAUAUCAAUAAGCGGAGGAAAAGAAACUAACAAGGAUUCCCUUAGUAACGGCGAGUGAAGCGGGAAGAGCUCAAAUUUGAAAUCUUCAAGGUUUGACCUUGACGAAUUGUAGUUUAUAGAAGUGUUUUCUGUUGGAGUUUUGGUAAAAGUUCUUUGGAAUAGGACAUCAUAGAGGGUGAGAAUCCCGUAUUUGACCAUGACUUUCAGCUGUGUGAUACACUUUCAAAGAGUCGGAUUGUUUGGGAAUGCAGUCCAAAAUGGUGGUAAAUUUCAUCUAAAGCUAAAUAUUGGCGAGAGACCGAUAGCGAACAAGUACCGUGAGGGAAAGAUGAAAAGAACUUUGAAAAGAGAGUUAAACAGUACGUGAAAUUGUCAAAAGGGAAGCGUUUGACACCAGUGUUGUUUUCUCGAAAAUCAAUUUAAUGAGUUCUUGUUUUAAGUUAUUGUGACUUUAUCAGCGCAUUUCUUAUUUUACUGACUCAUUGAAUGCACUUUUCGUUUAACAAGUCAACAUCAAUUUCUUUGGUGGUAAAAAGUUUAAAGGAAGUGGCUUGACUUCGGUUCAAGUGUUUAUAGCCUUUUUCUAUGCAUCGGAGAGAUUGAGGUCUGCAGCGUAGAUCCUUCGGGGUUAGAUACUUUGUGCUAAGUUAUAGUUUUUUAUAGACAACUUGUUGACUAUAAUUAACCUGUAUUACUCGCUUAGGCUAUUUUACCUACGCUUAGGAUGUU
rnacentral:misc_RNA from 1 species